UUAUUGACAAUUACGUUAGACUGAAAGCAGAAUAUAAGAAUUUAGCCUCAGUACAACCAGAAAAAUAUGUGAAAGAAAAAGGGAAGCAAUAUAAUGCUCUAACCUUUUUUUUUCUGAUUAAUGUUUGCCACUUUUUAUAAGUCUAACUGUUGAAGUUAGCAACUUUCGAUGUUGAAAGAAUUAAAGUUGCAUUAUGUGCAUAUUUUACAGACUUUUAACUAAAAUAGAAAAAAUAUAUUACACAUGAAACCAUAAUUAUUAUAAUCAGAGUUCAGAUAUAUGUAAUGCCACAUUUACACAAAUUUCAUGAAGCCAAACUGAAGUUACUGCAUUGGAAUGGAAGAGAUUUUAGUGGACAUUUAGUGAAGUCAAUAUCAAACCAGAAGGUCAGCAAUGAGAUAGAUGGAGGUACAAAUAUGCCAUGAUGAUCCUAAAGCAUUUCAAUCAUUAAGAGAUGAGUAGAUAAAAGAGCAGGAUAAUAGCUUAUAUAAGUGCCAUGAAUUGAACACCUAAAUUCUCAUGCUCUUUCCCAAAAGAACAUCAGCCAACCUUAUUUAGAGCAUGCCAAAUGGCAAUUUUAGGACUUGGAAGUAUUACUCAAAGGUCAGCGGUAUAAUAAUAAUCACAACGCAGGUGGAAGAUGCUACGCGCGCGGGGUGGCUGUGUCGAUCAGGGGCCUCUGUGAGGCGCACUACACAGGUUAAGUAGCACGCUAUCCUAACUCUCAUCACAAUAAUUCAUUUCAUAACAAAAAAAAAAACAAUCCUUUUUAAGACCUGGAAAUCCCAUAUGAUCUAAGAUCCUCUAUAAAAUGUCUAAAUAAAAACCAAAAUGAUAGAUUAUGCACUGCAGUAUCUGAGAAUGGGUCAAUCCAAGCAAACAGAACAGUCCCAUGCAAACACGCAUCAGUGUACAUCAGCUAAUGAGCUAACUAUCUAAGUGGAAAACAAAACAAACAUCUAGCUAUCAAACUAGCAGUGAAAAAAAAAAAGAAGAGGAAAUAAGAAAUAGUAGCAACUACAUGCAUCUGCCUUGUGAUCCAACAAAAUCUUCAGUGUCUUAUCCUUGCCAUUGUUAGCAGCAUGAAAGAGUGGUGUUCCAAGGCCACAGUCUAUGUCAACAGGUAUUCCUUUUGAAAGCAAGAACUCUGUUACCUUACAGCAUCCUGCAAUGAAUGAGAUGGGCCAUAAAUCUUGGGGGAAACAAAUACUAUAUAAAUUGAGUUAUUUGAAUAAACAUUUACCAAUACAAUGGACAAAUCACAAUAGAUUGCAUGUGAGAUGUGAGCGAGUAUAAACAGAGCAAACCAAUACAACUUUGAGUGGUGAUAUAUAAACUAAAAGUAUCUAGAUUAGCAACACAAUAAAAGAUAACUGUGACGACAUGGUUGGAUUAAAUGUAAUCUAUUAAUAGUAAUGCAGUAUCGUAGAAUCUUGUACAACAAUAUAAUUGGUAAUAUAACAAGGAAAUGGAUAGUGUUCAUAUCAAGGGAGACCUGUGCCAGCAGCAUGGUGGAGAACUGUGCAUCCUCUAACAUCUGCUUUUGUUACAUCACCACUAUGAUCAAGAAAAUACUCCACCGUAGGAACAUCACCAGACUCAGCAGCGGCCAUAAACGGUGUUAUAUCUGUAAUAAACAGCACAUCAGUACACUUGGCACAUUAUACUGCCAAAGCAUAGACAUGGCAACCGUCAAUUUCACGAAAGGAUGGUACAGUUAGAUAAUGACCUUCUUUUCCAGCAAUAUUCACGUCACCCCCCAAUUCCUCCACCAAGAACUUGCAAACAUUCAGAUGGCCCUGGCAUGCCGCGGCGUGCAGCACCCCAAUCCCAUGCUUGUUAAGAGCUAAGACGGCAUCUAGGGAUGCAAGCGGGCCAACUCGCAAACCUACUUAUAUGUAAAAUAAGUGAUAACCCGUGUGUUUUCACGUCGUGGUCCGAUUUGCCGCACUUAGAGAUGCAAGUGGGUCGAUCCAUAAACUCAUUUAUACGGGUUACCUACUAAUUUUGCCUAUAAGCGGGUUCACGGGUUGACCCGCUUGCAACCCUAAGUCUUUCCUUUCUGAAUCCCAAGGCUCUUUAUAAAACCUUCUCCCAAAUAAGAACAAAAAGAAAAGUCAUCACAGUGAGGAAGAUAAUCUGAAAAUGAACAGAUUAACUAGGUAGAACGUGAAAAGAAAAGCGACGAAAACGUGCAACGUGCAAGAACCUCACUGAGUCAUGUGAACCUAUACCUUGUGACUUGAAAACAUUUGUGUAGAGUACUGUCUGCUACACAUCACACAUUAGCACUUGGGAGAGGUAAUUGUAAUAGAAAGAUGAUCACAACAUUGUCGCAUUUAUCCAAUGCAAGGACUUGCUACAAUAAAAGCCUCAGUCAGGUCUUGCAAUUUCUAGAUAAGAUGGCAUGCAUCUCCAGUAAUCCAUAGACCUGGCUGUUAAUUCCUUCACGCAGGGUGAAAAAUCCACGCAGCCAUAACAUCACCGAAAAUAAAAUAAAAUGUGGGAAAUUCCCAAAGGCAACAGCAACGCAGCAAGCGCCCUUCCUUCAAAAAUUCCAUGGCCAAAUUAAUUAGCAGUACUACAGCCAUCGCCAAGCGUUCCACACAGGAGGAAUCACCCAAACCUAAGGGAGGAAAAUCACGCAACAGGCGCAUGCAAAAGGGGGCCAAUGCGUAGACGCAUCGAUCGGGGAAGGGGAUCGACGCGGCGGAGAAGAAGAAGGGGAGGAGGAGGAGGAGAGGUAGUAGCAACCUUUGAGGCGUCCGAGGUUCCCGUCGAAGGCCGCCCUCAGGCCUCAGGAGAGCGCUCUCACCUGCGAACAAACCGAGAAAUCGCCAUUAGAGCACAUGGCCGAGGAGCUAGCAAGCCGAUCGAGCUAAGAGGAGAUGCGGGGAGAGGGCGUCGGUGGGGCGGCAGUAGACGAACGGAACGGCGCCGCCAUGGCUCGCCUCGCCGCGAGGAGGGAGGAAGCUUGCAGGAGGAGGAGCGGAGUGGGUGGUGGGUUUUGCUCGUCCACCACGACGAGGGCGAGGGUUUGGCGGUGCACCCGUGCCCCGUGGACUGUAGGCCUGUAGCUCUCACGGGUGUACCAAGACCAGGUUCACGGAGCCGUUUGCUCGGUACGGAGAAAGCGGAUAGAUAGGUAGUCUAUGACAUGGGUGGCCCGCUUACAGGCCAGUACUACCGGAAAAAGGAAAUUAGUGGAGACCGGAUGCAAACAGGCUCCCGUACAGCCUCGCCAUAGAUAAUUGCCACGUAGACAACCGAACGAUCGAACGUCUCGCUGGGCAUUACUUUUUGUCCUAAAAAAAUUCAUGGGAUAUGACUCCUCCUAAUCACAUCCUUCAUUUCACAUUGGUUACAGUCUCAGCUUAUUCCAGCUACCUCGUCCUAAUUUACAGAGUCUCCUCGAAUGCCCUAGUUAAUUUGAAGCCAAGGUUAUUUUUUGAAUUUUUUAAACUUAAAUUUAAAGUUGAUCUUACGAUGUUUUCAACGUAGUUUUUUUUAUUUGCUCUUAAAUCGUUAGGACAUAUAUCUACCUAUAAAAUAUUUUUUCCUAAUAAGCUAAAAUAAUUUUCAUUAGAGAAUAUGGACAAUCGAUGACUUCCCGUGUAACACCAAGAGGCCUUAUGACACCGGUCAAUAUAUUGUUUUUUGAGCUUUGGCUAAAUAAGUAAAAUAGAUAGAUGCAGCCUACACGUCUUCCUAACUCUUUGCCUUCUUCAAGACAACGCCAAUGCAACGUCUGCUUCUGAAACUAGCGUUAGUGAGUUUUUUUUUCUUGCCCUUACCAGCCAAAAAAAUAGCCAACUUCCGAUUUGAUUUUCAUCUUAAUUUUGUUCUAACUCACUCACCAAGCUAUCCACCUGAUUAAUUUCUUUAAAUAGUAACAAUUAAUUAAGGAUUUUUUAUUUGAGAACAACGAUUACUUAGAUAACAAUUCAAUUUCAUCUAGUUACAUAGCAUUCUUCUAUUACUUUUCAUACUCGUUAUAAGUUUACUACAGGAUGUAAUUAAUUGUUGCUAUGAGUGUUGAGUUGACACUGAUACCCUCAACCUAAAAUCCUGGUUGAGGAGCAUGAGGAUGAUGACGCCCAGGCUUUAGGCGUCGGUCUUGGCACCCGCCUUAGCUUCUUAGCUGCACAUUAUACCAUCAGAAAUAGUUAGCGUAAUUAUCAAGUAUGCAGAUUUUCAGCUCAUAAGGAUAAACCCAAGAAAUGCAGCGUGAGUGUGGAGCAAAUUUGUUCAGAGACAGAAAGCUGAAUAAUACGUUAAUACUUUGGUUCAUGAAGAAGUCGAAAUGUGUCUUCUUCAAAUUCAGAGACAGACAGUUGUUAAACUAAAGUCUGAAAUGCGUGCACUGAAAAAUGACAAGGGCUCAUGGAGAGAAAUAUCUUCUAUAAGUCCUAAAAGAUUCUACAACUAUCCUUUCCAGAAUGCACCCAUCCCAUCAAAUGGACUUGACAGCUUGUCAUGGCUGUUACAUUCAGAUCCUUCAUGGAAGUUGUGUCGUAGCAGUGUUGGAAUACCUGAAAGCAGAGAAACAACACAAUCUUUUAAUAUACCUGAAUUGCAUUUGGUUAUAUUUGGUUUCCUACCAACAUGGAGACAAAAUGUGAAAUUAUAGCGAAGAAGUGUCUGUUUGGAUUGAUGCCCUAUCAAAAUUUUGGUAGUGCCAAAUCUUGAGCAACUUUGGUAGGGUGAAGUUAAAAAUAUUUAUUUGGAUUGAAGCCAAAAUAUGACUAUAAGAGACAAGUUUAUGGUCAAAGCCAAUUUUUUGGCAAAGGUAGUGAUUUAAUAGAGAUGUUUGGUUUGCUACCCUACCAUAAUUUUGGCAAGGUAACAAUCCAAACUAGCCCUUAGUAGCAAUCCAAAAAGGCCCGGACACUAAUUUUGAUUUGGCUAAAGAAAGAGCCAGAAAAGCAAAAGCUACAUCAGACAUUAAAGCACAAGAGAGCAGCGGACAAUUCAGAAAAAUGUGUUCUUACCUUAGUGCUCAAUUUUACAUUUUUUGGAGCUUUCCUUUUUGGUAGAAUGGCUUUUCUUUCUUUUCCUGGGUGGAUAAUCAGACAUGCUGCUGCUGGAAGAACUUGAACACCUCCGAGAUUUUCUCUUUCUGUGACUAACUGAAUUCCUUCUCUUUCUUUUCCUGGGAGAGGGACUAUACGAGCUGCUCUCUGACGACGAUUCAUCGGAGCUACUGUCUGACAAUGAGUCAGUAACAUAGGACCCCAAAGCAAAACAAGUCCUUAACCUACAGAAGAAAUUUUUAUAUUAAAUUAGUUCAAACUAACCUACACAAAAAAAAGUUAAACUAAUUGAACUGAAAUGAAAUAUACGUACACAUGAGUUAAAUCAAACUCAUCUUCAAUAAACUUAAAUACAGCUUCUGCAAGAAAGUCUCCUAGAUAUUUUGGGACCAUUAGCUCAAUACCACUAUCACAUUGAAACCAUUGGUAAUGUUCUAUUUUGGAAUCCACGAACACAUGAAUCUGCAAAAGAAAGCUUCAUGUCAUUAUUUCCUUUCCUCUUUCUUUUUUGAAUCAGAAUCGCAAAUAGGAAAUCUAGGAACGUUCUGGAAUCACAAUCAGAAACAAGAGAAGGGCGAGCUUACCCAGGAAUGUUCUGGUGCAUGAGUAUUGUAAUUUCUCACCAAAUGAAAUGCACUCAUGCCAUUGGAGCCGUAUAUGAUGUUCCUCUUCUGUCCUUCCAAAAUCACUAGGCGAAACAAAUGCUUAGACAUCAAAGUAUUGCACCAAUCUUCUGGGACUGUGCAAUUGUCUGCAACAAAUCUGAAGUACAUUUUCUCUCUGUCAUCCCAGCCAUCAUAGCAUCUCUUAAUUUGAUACACCAAAUUUACUCGGUUCAGAGAAGGUAUCAAAGAGAUAUGAUAGUCAAAAGCAAGCUGCUGACGCACUGUGAAAACAUCGACAGCUAAAGCUUCUAACUUUCCAAGAAGGUGCUUCAAGUACGGAGGAUGAACAUUUUUUUUGACAAACAUUUCUCUUAUCAUCGAAGUCAACUUGGUGCAGUCACUGUUCAUCUUGCUUGAGUUGAGGCCUUUCCAUGGCUUUUUCUUGAUUCUGACUCUCCCAUGAACAACAAUCAAACCAUCCAUGUCAAUGUUCCCAUUCCAUGUCUUUCCAGCUACAAACACCGAUGUAAAUAAGUGUAUCAAACUGGAGAGAACCAAACAGCCCAACUCAGUGAGUUCCUUAGUUCUUGAGUUGUCCGGAAGUUGAACUUCCCUUAGGAACUCAUGCCCAUGCUUUUAGAAAAAUUGUGAUAGUGUUUUAAAUUUUCUUCGACCGUGGAACUUUCUUCUACCAUGAACUCUUCUGCUUCCAUGAAACCUCUGUCCACCGAGAAGCCUACCACACAUAUAUAUAUUUGAAUCCUUUUCUAUACCAUACGAUGAUAAUGGUAUUCCUGCUUCUAACGUGCUCAUCUGGUACACGAAGAAGGAUCCAGAAACAUCCAGCCUCAUCCUUUUCUCUACCUCUUCUUUUAAGAAGACCACAUCUUUGCAUGUAUCAAUCUGCAGGGAUAACGUUCCAUGGGGAUGUUUGACAAAAACCUGGAUAAAUAUUAUAAAUAUCUUGAAGUUAAAAACAUAUGAUGAUAUCUUAAAUACAUUGCGCAUUUAAGUAAUUAAAAGGAGGUAUCAGGAAUCAACAUUCAUAUUGCAUUUCUAAUAAUAAGGAUACAAUACAACAGCAUUUAUUCAUACAGAGCAAAGUAGGGGGAUUUUGGCAACACUUACUUGUGUUUUUCCCAUAACAGAUGAAACAUUUGGAGGUUUGACCCCAUAAGAUGCAGUGGGUUUAUCAUAAAGGCCAACCUUCGACUCCACAACCUACAGAUGGGAGGUGAAAAAAAAUGUUAAAAUAAGAAUUAAUUGAUAGUACAAGGAAAUAUAGUUAAAUAGAUUAAUUUAUGGCCAAUUUUGUAAAUUUGAUGCUUCAAAACCAUAAAGCCAACACCAUUUGUAAUAAAAGGAAUUCGAACUCAAUAAAAAUGAACUAAACUACUACAUAAAAAAGAUCAAUCAAAUUCAAAAUGAGUUCCAGUGAAAAGCUUAUAAGUAAAUUGGACAACAGCUAUUAAAGGUAAUUGAAAUGUUUGAAGUAGCUGUGCAGGUAAACUUACAUCUUUACUUUCUUGGAUAUCAUAUUCCCUGUACAAGUACAACAGCUGCAUCAUCAACCUUGAUAUAUACAUUAAAAUGAACACUAGCAAUUCUGUCAUUUUUUUUUUAUUUUCAAUGUUUUACGUAGCAACAUUCAUUACAAUCGUUCAAGUCAUGGAAACUUAAUGAUUAAAGCAAAGUGAAAAAUGGUAACAGACAAUGAAGCCCAUGGUUCCCUCAUUUUCCUCCAUGUGAGGAAAAUAGCAUAUGAACAGCAAGAAGACUUGACUAAUGUGGAUACUGCAAAGCCUCAACAUAAUAUAGAUCCAGCAACAGACGGCUAUUACAGAUCACAUAUCUAAAAGUGGAAGGCUGUAGGAGCCAUCGAAAUACAGUGGAUAUCAGCAUUAUGCAGAAAUAUGCCUCAACCAGAAAAUUUAUGGGUUAAAUGUAACAACAAUAUCAGAGCUCAUCGGGUGCUAUACCUAUAAUGGUUUUGAAUAAUGAGCAGCCUAUUCUCCUUUGAGACAAAUAAGCAGGAUUUGAAUAUGCCAGCUAAUCAGAUUGCGAUUCAAUUAAAUGUCAGUCAUAAUAACCCAAAGUGUUACAUGGACUCAAAGAUAGAAGAGUGGCAUAUAAAACCAAAAAGAAAAGUUUGAGUGUUCAGCUGCAGUAAAUGUGGGCACAACUACAUCUUAGUAUUAACACAUGUUCCAUGCACAACCGUGAUUGUGUUUGGAAAACAUGCUCAAGAGAAACAGAAGAUGAUACCUUUGUUCCUUCUCAAUUUCAACGCUCCCAGGAUCCAAUUUUUGUGCAUCCAUGAGAGCAUCCCACAGUUGUUUGUACUCCUAGAUUUAGAGUAAAUCAGGACACAGACCAUAAUACAUGAUGGAUCACAAAAAGGUAAGCUGCAGCGAAUCUUACCUUGAGUAGCAUGUGACCUGCACUCCAACGAUAACAAGCUUUUUCCCAGUUAGGCCGCAUCAUUCGGGAUCUGUUACCAUCAGAUUGAGCAUCUUCACCAUCACCCAUGAGCAAUCUACAAAUGCUCCUGUUUGUGUACAGAACUGUGGUUGGCCCAUGAUCUAUUGUCUAUGCUCAAACAUCACAUAAACAACGUUAUCAUUCCCAAGCUUAAGAAGAAUGCAUGAAAACUUUAUUUCAACGGUCAAUGAUUUCCAUUAAUUUAAUGCAAUCCAAAGUGGAUAUUUGAAAGUUUGAAUAGCAGAACAUUUAUCUAGGAUGAUUUCCAUUAAUAAAGAAACUUAGCAUCUUUAUCUCCAACAUUCUUCAUAGUUUUGUGGUUAGGCCUAUGGCAUUCUUAUGCCGCAACUCAAGUGUACUUGAUGUCAGUCACUCAAAUAAAACUCUAAUUUUCACAAUAACAUAAGGAAACCUGUGGCAUUAAACAAUAUUUAGUAUGGAAAGACUGAAAGAGCAUUACUGUACAUAAAUACAUAACGUACCAUUGGCCUUAUAUCUUUGACUUUCGCAUGAGAGAUUAUUCCAUUGACACUCCACUCCGGGACAUUUGGAAUUGGGGAAGUCAAUGGAAAUAGCCUUUCAACAUCUUCCCUGCAAUCACGUAAUGCAGCAUGCUCCACAGGCAACCAACCCAACUGCACAAAAGAAUGAAGAAGUCAUUUCAUACAGCGUAAUUCAGCAAGGAACCUAAAAGACACCAAAAUUGGUGAAUGCAGAUUAAAUUCAGAGUACGACAAAUUAUCACAAAAUGUGGCUUUCAACCAAACAUCUCCAUAUGUCCCAAAAAAAACCAUGGUGUGUAGGUUAAAAGCUGGCCAUGGCAAUUUUGGACAUUGAAAAGGCCUUUUGGAUAUAAUCUUGAUUUGUAGCGUCAUUGGUCACUAAAAUGUUAUCCAUGCUUUGCACAAACUUUUCUGUACUCGCAAGAUAUACUUACACAUACAAUAAAUAAAGGACAUAGGCUCUGAUAAUGAUAGGAAACUACAAAAUGCACCUUUAGAAUAAAAUAUUCAAAUGAUAAGUGCAAUACAACUAGCAUAGUCAAAGCAGCCUCAACUUAUUGCUAAAAUAACUCCCUAAAAUAAUCAGAGCUGUAAUCAGACCAGAGUGGAAAACUAAUAAGUGACUCAGAAGAACAGAAAACAUACAUCAUCAGGUAUAUUAGGGUUUGCUCCAGCCUUCAGGAGAAACUUAAUGAAGUUAGUAUAGCAUCCUUGUGAUGCAGCAAACAUCAAGGGAGACACAAGUGCUCCCUUGCCAUUAACAUCAGCACCAGCCUAAGAAAAGCAUUGUGCAAUAUAAUAUUUAGCUCCACAACAAAUAUUUUGAGUUAACAAAAUAAAACAGUAGCGGUAGUUGAACAAAUAUAGACUCAAUUAAGCAUUGACCUUUAUGAGUAGCUUCAUGCACUUCAAUGAACGGCACACAAGGGAACUCAUCAGGAGACUACAUGCUCCAUUGUUGACAAUUACGUUAGGCUGAAAGCAGAAAAUGAGAGUUUAGCCUUAGUAAAAGCUGAAAGCAGAAUAUGUGGAUGAAAAAGGAAAUAAAUAUAAUGCUUGAACUGCACUUUUUUUCCUGAUUAGCAUUUGCCACUUUUUACAAAUUCAAGUUAGCAAUUUGCGCUGUUGAAAGAAUUCAAAUUGCAUUAUGUGCAUAUUUUACGGAUUUCUUAUUACAAUAGGAAAAUUCAUAUUACACAUGAAACCAAUAAUUAUAUUCAGAGUUCAGAUACAGGUACAACCACAGCUACUCAAAUUUCAUGAAGCCAAACUGAUGUUGCUGCAUUGGAAGAGAUUAUGGUGGACAUUUGGUGAUGUCAAUAUCAAACUAGAAGGGCGGAAAUGAUGCAGAUGAAGUUACAAAUUUGACAUAAUGAUCCAAAAGCAUUUCAUUUAUUAAGAGUUGAGAAGCUCAUAGAGCAGGACAAUAGUUUUUAUUAUUGGUGUGAUGAAUUGAACACUUAAAAUUCCAUACUCUUUCUCCAAAAAUCAUGAGUCAACCUUACUUAGAGCAGGCCAAAUGACAAUUUUAGGAGUUAGGAUAAUCCUCGAGGGUAAGAUAUAUAAUAAUCACAAUAAUGCAUUUCAUAACAUAAUAAAGAAAAAUCAUUUUAAGAUCUGGAAAUAUAACUUUUAAAUCACACCAUCAUAUGAUCUAAGAUCCUCCAUAAAAUGUUAAAAGUGGAAAAAACCAAAAGUAUGGAUUAUGCACUGCAAUAUCUUGGAAUGGUUCAGUCCAGGCAAACAAAACAGUCCCAUGCAAACACGCAUAAGUGUACAUCAGCUAAUAAUCUAAGUGGAAAGCAAAACAAAUAUCUAGCUAUCCAAACUAGCAGUGAAAAAAAGGAAGAGGAAAUAAGAAAUAGUAGCAACUACAUACAUCUGCCUUGUGAUCCAACAAAAUCUUCAGUGUCUUAUCCUUGUCAUCGUUAGCAGCAUGCAAGAGUGGUGUUCCAAGGCCACAGUCUAUGUCAACAGGUAUUCCUUUUGAAAGCAAGAACUCUGUUACCUUACAGCAUCCUG
rnacentral:lncRNA from 1 species